rnacentral:rRNA from 1 species
GACGUAGGGUGCGAGCGUUGUCCGGAUUUAUUGGGCGUAAAGAGCUCGUAGGCGGCUUGUCGCGUCGACCGUGAAAACUCGGGGCUUAACUCCGGGCCUGCAGUGGGUACGGGCAGACUAGAGUGCGGUAGGGGAGACUGGAAUUCCUGGUGUAGCGGUGAAAUGCGCAGAUAUCAGGAGGAACACCGGUGGCGAAGGCGGGUCUCUGGGCCGUAACUGACGCUGAGGAGCGAAAGCGUGGGGAGCGAACAGG